CUUCUCUAUGUUUCUUUGUGUUCACCCUUCAGACGCAAAUCAGAAGGGGAAAGGAACAGAAGUGGUGUAGCUGGCAGGUGGUGCGGGAUGCCCACUCCUGCAUCUAAUAGCACACCCAGCUGAUGCCUUUUCUUUCGGAAGUGGGAGGCAGCCAGAAGAGUUUUCUCUCUUGCAGCGAUACUGUUUGCUCAAGGAGCUGUAGUAAAUGCUUGGCUUGUUUCUGAAAGGGCAGCACCCAGCCAUUUGGUGCUGGUUAGAUGUGCUUCUUGGUCUAUGGAAGCAGGGAUUUCCAUACGCUAAAAAAAAAUUGAGCAGAGCUUUAGACUGCAGCAGCCGUUCACCGAGGUUCUCUUUUUAGCUCUUAGAACUCCUGUGGUCAACCCAGUGUGUUAAUGCAGCCAAGCCAGGUCCCUAACGCCUGAACUUUCCACAGCUGGGAAGGAAGGAAAGUUAAAAAAAAAAGUGACCCAAACCAGACAAACAGACAAGAAAUGUGUGGAUUUCCUUGUAAGAGGGAAAAAAAGAGAUGACAGAGUUUGAUCUGCUAUGUAAAUCUGUGAGGAAGGCUUGAUCUUAACCAGUUCAUCUCAGCUAAUACUUACAAUUUUUUCAGUAGCGUUUCUGAACCCGGAUCACUGUUUGCAAGGCAUCCACCUUCGUGGAUCUGUUUCUCUUGCGGUCCCUCACCAUUUGCUGCACAGUAGCCGGUGAUACACCGCCCUUGCCCUCUGCGUGACGUGACUUAAAGCCAACAUUUCUUAAAAGCACUCGGCUCCUGCUGUGGAAUGAUGCAGCUUUUGCCCUCUGUACAACAAACCCAGCCACACAAGUAGUCGUGAUCUCAUGCCGGAAAACUUCUGAAGGACAGCGGCCUUGUGCAGAGCAGCAAUCCCGAGCACCACAUCAGUGUCACGCCGCUCACUCAGUCUUCUCACCACUUCUCUGGUUUCAAGGUAUUUUUUUUUUUUGGUUCCCCAAACACUGUAAAAAUAUUUGGCGUGCUUAGGAUUGACAGUAAUCAUCCGUUGGAAGAGUGAGCAGUUCAGCUGAUCGGGGUGUUAAAGACAACACCGCAGACGUACACAUUCGCCGAGGGAGGAGCCAGCGGUCUCAGCAGCUCAUUUCUGAGUUAUUUUCAAGGUGGAUCUACUUCUUCUUCAGUUUCCUUCCGAACCUCUGGAGCUCAGGCUCCAGUGUAGCCCCGUGGGGAUUUUUGAGCCCCCGGUGCCAUUUUCUCCUCGAGCAGCGGUUUGAGCUCAGGGCACUGAGGCACAGAGGCGGGAGCCUUUGUUGUCGAUGUGGCUCCCUUACUCUGCAGCUACAGAAAGCUCCCGUCUCUCAUCUAUUUAAAAGAUCUAUUUUAGAGCAGUUUUAAAUAGAUGAGAACCAAGGAGGAAGGGGCCGCUGUGCUCUUUAACUCCGGCUUUUGCCUGGAAUCCUGUCAAUGCGAACCCCUCCUGCUCCCCGUGCCGGCUGUGCCAGUAGCGUUUAAGAGGCAGAUCUCCUGGGUUUGGAGGCAGGGUCAGUGUCCUUAAAGCUCUGGAAAGGAGCAGGGGAGGACCUGCGCAGGAAGACCUGAAUUCCAAGCUGCUGCAUUCACAAGCUGUCUGAUUCUCCGAGAGGUUUUUUGGGACAGAACUCAAACACAUCAGAUUCCGAGUACUCUAAAAGAUGGAAUCUUCACGGAAAUACACAACAACGACGACAAACAAACAAAAGAGUACGGUGCCCCCGAUGCCGCGGGGCUCUCUGCCGAGUGGUCUUCAGCCCCCGGCUCCGACCGCGCGGAGAGGAGCGCGCCUGGCCUCUCGCACGUCUCGGUGCUUUCCUUUGCGCUCCCACCUGCGCAGCGACGGAGCACCUCGGGGCCCCGACCCCGACGGGCCCUCACCCCGGG
ensembl:lncRNA